rnacentral:miRNA from 1 species
UGGUGGAUUAACUGUUGC